rnacentral:rRNA from 1 species
AUUGAACGCUGGCGGCAGGCUUAACACAUGCAAGUCGAACGAGCGGCGGACGGGUGAGUAAUGUCUGGGAAACUGCCUGAUGGAGGGGGAUAACUACUGGAAACGGUAGCUAAUACCGCAUACCAUCAGAUGUGCCCAGAUGGGAUUAGCUAGUAGGUGGGGUAAUGGGUCACCUAGGCGACGAUCCCUAGCUGGUCUGAGAGGAUGACCAGCCACACUGGAACUGAGACACGGUCCAGACUCCUACGGGAGGCAGCAGUGGGGAAUAUUGCACAAUGGUCGCAAGCCUGAUGCAGCCAGGCCGCGUGUGUGAAGAAGGCCUUCGGGUUGUAAAGUACUUUCAGCGAGGAGGCGUUACCCGCAGAAGAAGCACCGGCUAACUCCGUGCCAGCAGCCGCGGUAAUUC